GGAUGUGAGGGAAAUCUGGCUGUGACAUCUGUCACCCUAUUGAUCACCAGGGUUAAUUUGGCUCAUCUAACUGGUUGGGUGGGUGUUCCCUUCCUCCAUGUACAUCCCUCUGGAACCUGUGCGUUCAGUCAAAAAAGAUGAUCUUUAAUAGAGAAGGACUGUCCUUCAGUCAAGGGUAUAUAUGAGUAGCUGCGCAUUUCUGCUAGAACCUCCAAACAAGUUCUCAAGAAACAUUAGUCUUCUUGGCUAAUGAGAAAAUAAUUUAAAUUUUUUCAAACACUAGCCUUAAAAUACAAGGC
rnacentral:snRNA from 1 species